rnacentral:lncRNA from 1 species
CAGGGACGAUGACUCCACCUCCUCCCUGGGCAGCUGUGCCACUGCCUCACCGCUCCUUCUGGGAUGGGUUACUGGAGGGAACUCCUCUUCCCCCAGCUGCACGCUUAGCGUCUCCCUUGCUGCACGCACUGAGAAGGAGGUGUGCGCCACAGACUGAACAAAGCCAAGCGAAAAAGGCAGUGCAGCUUCUGCUCUGGCCUCUGCUUGUUUCACAUGCCAAUGAGCAAUGAAAGCACAGCACUAACAAAUAAACCACACUUCUUCAAAAAGCCCCCGGGAGGCUAUAUUCAAUGGUAUCAUUUUUUUUUUCUGUUUCUUUCUGAUUCUUUUUUUUUUUUUCUGUCGGAGCUGACAUCUUUUCCUCUUGCUGAACCAGCAUUUCCUGACAGCAAACCAUUGUCAGAAAUUUUCCAUCCAGCUCUCGGGUGGAUUUCAACACUCAGUGUUUGCACAUAUGUGCGAGAAGAGGUUAAUGUCAAUCUCAGAAACUUAUCUACAGGAUGUGCACGAGGGUACCAGCAGCGAGGAGCAGCACGUUCGUUUGGAGAAGUUCAGGCACCAGUUGCUUUCUUUGCCUUGGAGCUGGUGUCAGCUCUGCUCUGCUCGAUUACAGCUGUAAUGGUGAUCCUCUCUCAUGUGUUUACUGCCCAGCUGACCUGUCAUUAGGAAAAAAUCCUUCCGUGGUCAACGCUGCCUUUCGUGACACAGCAGAGCUCCUUUCAAAAGCCCUGGGACAUUCUGAUGGUUUUGAAAGAAAACAUCUAGGAGAAGAGCGCUGCUCUCCCAGUGAGCAGCAACACAGGCUGGCCUCAGAAGUCAGACAAGUGAGGCAGGAGCUUGGGAGGGGGGGGGGGGACGUGCUAACUAAUGCAACAGCAGGCACUUUAAUCACUGACGAGAUCACUGCCUGUGCUGCCUGAGGACAAUUCCUUAUCACAGCUGCCCACUGAAUAGCAACAGGACCAGUCUCCGCGUCUGAAGAACUUUAACCAGCAAAGCCUCUCCAAAGAUAACAAUGCACUGGGAGGGUAUGCAUGCCCAGGCAACGCUUUAAAGAAGUUAAAAAAGAAACAUUCCCCACAGUGUCACAGGUCUGCCAAGCACGAUGCAGCCCAGGGUCAUCAGCCUCUGCCUGUGGUGUUGGCACUCUAGGGAUGUGGACGAAAACCCCAACUCCUGGGGCUUUUAAGGGACCAGGAAGGGAAACAGUCUGUCCCCAUUCAGAUUUCUGCAGCCAAAGCUGCCUUCACAUGCACGCUUCCACAGAGAGUGUCACGGCAUCCCAGCAGCACAUCCAGGAGAUUGCCUUUACUAAAGGGGAGGGCUGAUUCAUCACCCUGCUGAAGUAUCACGAGCAGCCUCAGCCUCAGAGACCGGACCUGUUUGACAGCAGCCAGACAGCAUCAGCUGCCUCCUGGAGGAGAGGAAAAAAAAAAGGUUUGAAAUGAGAGAGCGAGCAGAGGAAUGAAGGGGAAAAAUGACUGGAGGACUGGAAGAGGACAAAGAGCUGCCUCUGGGAGACACAGUUCAACUUACAGAAGUAUGGGGUGGCUCUGAGCCCGCCUCAUCCAUCAAGGAGGAGACGCAUUGCCCCAAGUCCCAGCAGCACUCACACUGCCCAGGGAGGAUGGCAUGAAGCUGGGAGAGUCCGCUGCCCUCUGCUCCAGCUCUCGUGACUGGCUUAAAAAGUGAAGUGAAAGAGAGCUAUGGGAAACUGCAUGGUUGCACUUCACCUUUAAUGCUGUCCCCCCAGUUCACGGUCUUUAUUCAUGUGUUUUAUCAUAAAAUUUUGUUUUCAAUUUUCUCACAGAUGUUAACUUUAUAAGAAAGUUGCACUGUUUUAACUUCAGUUUUGUUAGCAUGAUGCAGAAGACGCUUCACAUCACUUAAAGUGAAAUUAAAACCCCUGCAACAAACAAACCAACAAA